GGAUGAAGAACGUAGCGAAAUGCGAUAAGUAAUGUGAAUUGCAGAAUUCAGUGAAUCAUCGAAUCUUUGAACGCACCUUGCGCUCGUUGGUAUUCCGACGAGCAUGCCUGUUUGAGUGUCAUUAAAUUCUCAACCUCAUCGCUUUUGUGAUGAUGGCUUGGAUGUGGAGGUUUUCUGCAGGCCGAAAGGUCUGCUCCUCUCAAAUGAAUUAGUGGGUGCCCCGCGCAAACCUAUCUAUUGGUGUGAUAAUUAUCUACGCCGUGGAUCUUAGAUUGCUGUAAAAAGGUGUUUGCCCCGCUUCUAACCGUCGUCAGACAACUUGAACCAUUUGACCUCAAAUCAGGUAGGACUACCCGCUGAACUUAAGCAUAUCAAUAAGCGGAGGA
rnacentral:misc_RNA from 1 species